UUUAACUCCAACCCAAUGUGACCAUACCAAACUGUUGCCUCGGCGGGGUCACGCCCCGGGUGCGUCGCAGCCCCGGAACCAGGCGCCCGCCGGAGGGACCAACCAAACUCUUUUCUGUAGUCCCCUCGCGGACGUUAUUUCUUACAGCUCUGAGCAAAAAUUCAAAAUGAAUCAAAACUUUCAACAACGGAUCUCUUGGUUCUGGCAUCGAUGAAGAACGCAGCGAAAUGCGAUAAGUAAUGUGAAUUGCAGAAUUCAGUGAAUCAUCGAAUCUUUGAACGCACAUUGCGCCCGCCAGUAUUCUGGCGGGCAUGCCUGUCCGAGCGUCAUUUCAACCCUCGAACCCCUCCGGGGGGUCGGCGUUGGGGACCUCGGGAGCCCCUAAGACGGGAUCCCGGCCCCGAAAUACAGUGGCGGUCUCGCCGCAGCCUCUCCUGCGCAGUAGUUUGCACAACUCGCACCGGGAGCGCGGCGCGUCCACGUCCGUAAAACACCCAACUUCUGAAAUGUUGACCUCGGAUCAGGUAGGAAUACCCGCUGAACUUAAGCAUA
rnacentral:rRNA from 1 species